rnacentral:rRNA from 1 species
GGUGAUCUGCCCUGCACUUCGGGAUAAGCCUGGGAAACUGGGUCUAAUACCGGAUAUGACCUCCUAUCGCAUGGUGGGUGGUGGAAAGAUUUAUCGGUGCAGGAUGGGCCCGCGGCCUAUCAGCUUGUUGGUGGGGUAAUGGCCUACCAAGGCGACGACGGGUAGCCGACCUGAGAGGGUGACCGGCCACACUGGGACUGAGACACGGCCCAGACUCCUACGGGAGGCAGCAGUGGGGAAUAUUGCACAAUGGGCGAAAGCCUGAUGCAGCGACGCCGCGUGAGGGAUGACGGCCUUCGGGUUGUAAACCUCUUUCAGCAGGGACGAAGCGCAAGUGACGGUACCUGCAGAAGAAGCACCGGCUAACUACGUGCCAGCAGCCGCGGUAAUACGUAGGGUGCAAGCGUUGUCCGGAAUUACUGGGCGUAAAGAGUUCGUAGGCGGUUUGUCGCGUCGUUUGUGAAAACCAGCAGCUCAACUGCUGGCUUGCAGGCGAUACGGGCAGACUUGAGUACUGCAG